CCUACGGGGGGCAGCAGUGAGGAAUAUUGGUCAAUGGACGAGAGUCUGAACCAGCCAAGUAGCGUGAAGGAUGACUGCCCUAUGGGUUGUAAACUUCUUUUAUAUGGGAAUAAAAUGUUCCACGUGUGGGAUUUUGUAUGUACCAUAUGAAUAAGGAUCGGCUAACUCCGUGCCAGCAGCCGCGGUAAUACGGAGGAUCCGAGCGUUACCCGGAUUUAUUGGGUUUAAAGGGAGCGUAGGUGGAUUGUUAAGUCAGUUGUGAAAGUUUGCGGCUCAACCGUAAAAUUGCAGUUGAAACUGGCAGUCUUGAGUACAGUAGAGGUGGGCGGAAUUCGUGGUGUAGCGGUGAAAUGCUUAGAUAUCACGAAGAACUCCGAUUGCGAAGGCAGUUCACUGGACUGCAACUGACACUGAGGCUCGAAAGUGUGGGUAUCAAACAGGAUUAGAUACCCCAGUAGUC
rnacentral:rRNA from 1 species